rnacentral:rRNA from 1 species
AUUUGCCAAGUAUGUUCCCGUUAAUCAAGAACGAAAGUUAGAGGUUCGAAGGCGAUCAGAUACCGCCCUAGUUCUAACCAUAAACGAUGCCAGCCAGCGAUCCGCCGAAGUUCCUCCGAUGACUCGGCGGGCAGCUUCCGGGAAACCAAAGCUUUUGGGUUCCGGGGGAAGUAUGGUUGCAAAGCUGAAACUUAAAGGAAUUGACGGAAGGGCACCACCAGGAGUGGAGCCUGCGGCUUAAUUUGACUCAACACGGGAAACCUCACCAGGCCCGGACACCGGAAGGAUUGACAGAUUGAGAGCUCUUUCUUGAUUCGGUGGGUGGUGGUGCAUGGCCGUUCUUAGUUGGUGGAGCGAUUUGUCUGGUUAAUUCCGGUAACGAACGAGACUCUAGCCUGCUAAAUAGACGAUUUCCGGUAUCCACAAUAGUGCUACCGGCGAAAUCAAUAUCUUCUUAGAGGGACAGGCGGCUUUCAGCCGCACGAAACUGAGCAAUAACAGGUCUGUGAUGCCCUUAGAUGUCCUGGGCCGCACGCGCGCUACACUGAAGGAAUCAGCGUGUACACCCUGGCCGAAAGGCUCGGGCAACCCGUUGAACCUCCUUCGUGCUAGGGAUUGGGGCUUGCAAUUGUUCCCCAUGAACGAGGAAUUCCCAGUAAGCGCGAGUCAUAAGCUCGCGUUGAUUACGUCCCUGCCCUUUGUACACACCGCCCGUCGCUACUACCGAUUGAAUGAUUUAGUGAGGUCUUCGGACUGGUGCGCGGCGGCCGCCUGCGCGGCCGCCGAUGCCACCGGGAAGAUGACCGAACUUGAUCAUUUAGAGGAAGUA